UAACCUAAAAUUUUCACACCUUCAGCAAGAGAAGAAGCUACUUUCUUCCUCGAAAGCCACCGUUGGGAUCUCGACGCUGCCGUCUCCACUUUCCUAGACAACGACGCCACUGCCACCGGGUUCAAACCCUAAUUUACCUCCUCCUUCGAUUCCCGCCGCAUAUCCUCACUCUCCGGAUUACUCUCCGACUGAAUCAUCUCCUUCUCGCUCACGAUCUCCUUCUCCUCCUUCCCGCGACGCUCCCUACCGUCUCCGAUCGAAAGCCGCCGCCUCCGAUCGAAAGCCGCCGCCUUCGAGAAUCAAGGAGCUGGUAAUCCGUCUGGGAGCAGGAAUACUAGGAGCCGUCAACAAGCUGGGAACAUCCGUACCUUCGCCGAUCUGAACCGUUCCCCGCUGACGGCGCGGAUAGUGAUUCCGAUGAAGGGAAAGAGUAUUAUACUGGUGGACAGAGGAGUGGGAUGAUGGUUCAAGAUCCUAAGAAAGCAAAAGAUGUUGGUUCAACAACCACCACACGGUGAGAGACGUGCAUGGGUUCAUCUACGCUUCAAGAUCCGGUGAGUCCAGAGAGUACUAUUUAUUAACCUAAACAGUUGACAAAACUUGGACCAAACCAUGGAGCAAGCGGUGAGGUGUAUACGGUAACGCAUAGCAGAAACAAAAGCAAGAAGUUGACAUGGACGUGUUGGAGAUUCGGGAAGAUAAGCAAUGCAAUAACACACCACUUUUCUCAAGGCAUUUGCCUGCUGGUUAUGUGGUUGGGUACGAGAAGACGAAUAACAGAGAAGCUGAGAGUAUUGCUGUUAAGUGUUAGGUCGUGUUAGUGAUGAUGGCUUCUUGAAAACUGUUUUAUCUGGUUUUCUUAAACUUCAGGCCGUAAAUUGUGCGCUAAUGAUUGAUGAUGAAACAUGUGAGAUGUUGAUUUAUAACU